rnacentral:sRNA from 1 species
AUCGGGAUUCAGAACUUGUCUCUGAGCGCUGACCACGGAGGUACUGGCAGCUGUUCUCGAGACAGAUCGAGGAAGGUCGGCGCGAAUUUCGCCCCGGCCUUUUUCUUG